ACAUUGCGGCGAUGCUGUGGCAGCGCCAGGAUAUACCAGUAUUUUUUUUAAUAACAAUACAAAAUAUCGUUAAUAUAAAGUGACUGACUGUUAUUUAUGCGAAUUAACGCUUGAUUAUGUCAAGAAACAUUUUGCCAGUGCGAGCGCGAAUACGUUAAAAAUCAUUGCGAGUGCGCUGUGUUUAAGUGCUCUACGGGCUCCAGAAAUGCUGCACUGUUUACUAACUCUGCCCACUUGUGACGUCAUUCUACUAUCCUUCUUUAUAUAGUCCUAUCUUGGAUCCAGGAAGUACUAUAGAACUGUUGCUGAAGAUCGAGUUCUUCCAAUGCGCACUGUAUGUUGUUGUAUAUUGUUGUGGUUUGUUCCUUUCUUUACGAACACCAAGAGUGCCAGGUUGUAAGCAUUUGCAAUUCCGGUGAUGUAGAAGUGGAAAGACUUGAUAUUUGCCCCCACUUCAGAGGAAGCUGUAAAGGCCUAUGAGCUUUUUAUAAAGGAUCUUCAAGAUAAGGAUUUCCAGCAGCAGACAAAAUUGUCAGCAGAACUGAAUCUUUUAGCUUCUGAGAAAGUUAAGAAGGUCUGCAUUAGAAUACAAGUUAGACAUGCUUGACAUUCUAAGCAAAUCAUACCUAAUUAUAAUGUAAGAAGUUGGGGGAGGGGGGGAACGUAGUUGGACUGGCCAUGGGGGGAGGAGGGGUGGAGUGGAGUUGGACUGUACAAUGUUAUAUUGAUAAUGACAAACAGGCCAUCUUUUGGCUGAGAUCUUUAGGCCACCCAAUUGUCAAGAAAUUGGCUUUUUCAGCCCUUUCAAAAGGCGGUAGGAUUAGCACUGAAACUUGGUAUGCAGUAGAAGGGCUUUAAAAUAGAGGCUGGCAUGUAUGCCGUUGUAGUAAAAAGCUUUGAAAGCCAACCUCACUGGAAAAUUAUUAUUAGCCUGGAUGAAGCCAUCUUGCCCCUCUCUUACAAACUGAACAUUCUGUCUAAUGUGAGGCAAAUGUAUUCAUUGUGUUUUAUGAGGUUUUCAGUUGUCCACCACAAAUACAGGUAUUGAAAGUAUUUUAGUGGGAUCGACAUUUCUUACCCAGUUGUGAACAUACUGUAUAUUUGUACUUCCAACAUGUGAGACAUUGUACUUCUAGAAUGGCUCAAUUUAACAGUAUCUUCAUGCCUGGGGUUCCACUCAGUGCUUGAGCGUGCUUGUUUAAUAGAUAGAACAUGCUUGUUUAAUAGAUAGAGCGUGCUUGUUUAAUAGAUAGAGUGUGCUUGUUUAAUAGAUAGAGCGUGCUUGUUUAAUAGAUAGAGCGUGCUUGUUUAAUAGAUAGAGCGUGCUUGUUUAAUAGAUAGAGCGUGCUUGUUUAAUAGAUAGAGCGUGCUUGUUUAAUAGAUAAAGAAAAAGAAUCGACUACUCGAAGUUACUUUUUGUUUAUUCGGAAGCUACUUUUGCACAAAAAAAAACUACAAGAUAUGAGCAAUACUUUCAGAAACAUCUUAAACGUAAACUAUCACCUGCCCAUGUUUCGACAACAAAUAUCUUAAAGAAUUUAAACUGCUUAAUGGCUGCUUUUGUAUUAUGUAUAUACUGUUUAAAUAUUUAAAUGGUCUGAUUGUGGCAGUUGUAUGUGUGACAUGUGUGACAGACAAGUAAGUGGGGGAGACCCAAAAACCGGAGAUCCAGACAGGAGUUUCUCAAAGAAUGGACUGUAUGGUCCAGGUAAGUUUAUUAUUUACACAAAAAAUAAACAAACAAACAAAAAAAUAAUAUGCCUAGCCCUGUUCGGGCCUAACUGACUUUCUUCUUUGUCCCCCUCUACACAGUGAAAUCAACAAACACCGCUCCACAAGGUCCAACACUUCCUGCGUUGCUGAGAUGAUCGUUCCAGACCUCCCAGAUGUGAAGAAGGCGGGCUUUCUGGUUUCCCCACCAGAAAUAGUGUUCAACAAAAUAAAGUUUCUUUUUUAAAGUC